GAUGAACGCUAGCUACAGGCUUAACACAUGCAAGUCGCGGGGCAGCAUGGGGGUUGCUUGCAAUCCCCGAUGGCGACCGGCGCACGGGUGAGUAACGCGUAUCCAACCUGCCCUUCACCACGGGAUAACCCGGCGAAAGUCGGACUAAUACCGUAUGUUGUCCAUUGACGGCAUCCGAUUUGGACGAAAGGCUUGGCGGUGAGGGGUGGGGAUGCGUCCGAUUAGCCAGACGGCGGGGUAACGGCCCACCGUGGCUACGGUCGGUAGGGGUUCUGAGAGGAAGGUCCCCCACACUGGAACUGAGACACGGUCCAGACUCCUACGGGAGGCAGCAGUGAGGAAUAUUGGUCAAUGGGCGUAAGCCUGAACCAGCCAAGUAGCGUGCAGGAUGACGGCCCUAUGGGUUGUAAACUGCUUUUAUGCGGGGAUAAAGUGGCCCACGUGUGGGCUUUUGCAGGUACCGCAUGAAUAAGGACCGGCUAAUUCCGUG
rnacentral:rRNA from 1 species